rnacentral:rRNA from 1 species
GUCUAUGGCCAUACCACUCUGAACACGCCCAAUUUUAUCUGAUCUCAGAAGCUAAGCAGGGUUGGGCCCGGUUAGUACCUGGAUGGGAAAAACACCUGAAAGGCAACCAUUCAAA